rnacentral:piRNA from 1 species
GUUUCGUGGAUAAAAUGGCAUUGCCAGC